rnacentral:tRNA from 1 species
GGGCUCGUAGCUCAGCUUGGUUAGAGCGUUCGACUGAUAAUCGAAAGGUCAAGAGUUCAAAUCUCUUCGGGCCCA